UACGGAGGGUGCGAGUGUUAUUCGGAAUCACUGGGCGUAAAGAGAAUGUAGGCGGAUUGGCAAGUCAGAUGUGAAAUCCCGGGGCUCAACCCCGGAACUGCAUUUGAUACUGCCUGUCUUGAGUUUGGUAGAGGUGGAUGGAAUUCCCGGUGUAGAGGUGAAAUUCGUAGAUAUCGGGAGGAACACCAGAGGCGAAGGCGAUCCACUGGGCCAAUACUGACGCUGAGAUUCGAAAGCGUGGGGAGCAAACAGG
rnacentral:rRNA from 1 species